AACGCACAUUGCGCCCUUUGGCAUUCCGAGGGGCAUGCCCGUUCGAGCGUCAUUAAUCCCCUCAAGCCUGGCUUGGUAUUGGACGUCGGGGCCUCCCGCGUCUUCAUUUCGCCGGCUGGCCGUCGACCGACUUAGCGUUGUGACACAAGUCGCUAUCGAAGUCGGCGGACUGCGCCGUCAAAAGUUCUCUCGGACGUUAAUCAAUGUCCGGUAAAGGUUGACCUCGGAUCGGGUAGGAAUACCCGCUGAACUUAA
rnacentral:misc_RNA from 1 species